rnacentral:lncRNA from 1 species
AUGAAUCACCCUAUCUCUCCUCUUCGAAUAAGGAAUGAAGAAUUUACGCGUUUGCAACCGCGGGAAUAAUCUCACUCUCUAACAAAUAAUGAAGAAAUCAAUUCGAUUCAUACAAUGUCUAACAAUUAUAAAUGGUAAUGUGGAAGCACGAAGAUCACUAAGGGCUUUUCGGUUGAAGCUUGGUCAGGUUAACAAACAAGGGUCAUUUCUAAGGCCAUUGAAAACGAAAUUGCCGAUGCAAAAGAGACAUUCACUGUACACAUAUUCACACAUCUCGACUUCGUUCCAUUUGUUUCUUAUUUGAAACCUUCACAACUCUUAUUUCACAACUCAAUUUUUAUUUUUCACUAUUUUUCUUCCAAGCAAGCAUUCAUUUUCAUUCUUUCUAUUUUUGUUCUUUUCUUUCACAUCAUAUUUACAAAACAGAUGUUUCUUUUCUAUAUUUUUAUUUUCAAUGCUUGCUCGGUUUUUCAUUUUUUUUUUCAAGAGUUGUGGUACUUACCGAUUCUCCCCAACUUAUUUCUUACUCACCCUAAGUGAAUGCUCUUAACUUUUUACGGCAAAAGAACAAUAAUCAAGAUUUUCCGGGUUGUAAAAAAAAGAUUUUUGAAAUCUCGCUUUAUUUCAAGCUGAGAUUCAACUGUUUAAGCUCAAAGGGGUUAACGAAUACUCUCUCUGCUCACAGGUAAGUUGUUUUUGGAUGUAGUUGUGCUCGAUAGAAAACAAGUGCCUUGAUCAUUUCUAAUUGCUUCCACAUAUUCACAAUAAUAAAAGACAAAGCAUGAAUCAAAUGAAUCAACAAAACUUAUUAGAAUCCAGCAUUUAAGUGUACAAUGGAGGUUUCCUCACAAUUUGUGGUUUUAAGUUCUAGAUGAAACAUUCAUUCAAUUAUGUUGCAAAAAGACAAUAUUCAAUUUACCAAAAAGAGUAAAGUUCUUAAUGCAUUCUAAAAUUCUAGCCGGAGGUAACCAUGUACCUUAGCCUUAUUCACUUGUUUAUUCUUAUCAUUGCCAUCCAAGCUCGGAUGCACCUUCAUUGGGUACUUCUUUGAGGAGCAACCAAUCUAGAAGGU